CCCUCUCCAAGCCAUGAGAUGGAAGAGUGUCCUUAUAUGAAGACUGCUGGAGUUCCAUUGGCUGGAAGUGCCUCAGGCUGUGGCUGGCGUUUGAAGGGCUGCUCCACACAUAUCAAUCAUCCUUUGACAAGAUCUGGAAGAAAAAAAAAACAACAAAAACCACCCCCCAAAAAGGUGAGGUUCCGAGAUGGUAUCUGGAUGAUGAACACAGAGAGAGCUUCCAUUGUUCCUCUUCUCCUUUGUGCAGAGGAAGCCGUUGGCUGUGACUACUGAGAACAGAACGUCCCCUCACAUCCAAUAUGGUAUCAGCCCUGACAUCUCUUAAAUACAGAAAAUAACAAGAGGAAGAAUUCGUCUUCAUGAAUUGCAGAAUUGUCAGUUCUGCAGACAAUUAUCAAAAAUUUUAUAGGAACACCUUGGGAGAUGUCGAAGUGUUUAUUUCAACAGCCCAAAGAAGAGAACCACAAUAUGGACACUCUCUGUCUCCACAAAUCCCCCGAUGCAUGUUUUAUUCAACCUUCCAAUUUUUAGACAAAGAUUCUUGUUAGCCUCAUGAAAGACCUGGAUACUGGGGGAAAGAUGGUAUCAUAUUUUCAAUUAUGAUCAACUCACCUAAUCUGACGGAAGUGGUAAGAAGGAAGCUGGUGUGUAUGCUGAUUGUGAUUUCGAGAAUAAACUCCUACUUCUAAACCACUUACAAAAGUA
rnacentral:lncRNA from 1 species